rnacentral:rRNA from 1 species
GAUCAACGCUGGCGGCGUGCCUAACGCAUGUAAGUCGCACGGACGGCCUUCGGGCCGCCAGUGGCGAACGGCUGAGUACCACGUACGCAACCAACCCGCUUGUGGGGAAUAACGCGCGGAAACGCGUGCUAAUACCGCGUAAGUCCGAGAGAGGAUGCUCGCUCGGGGAAAGCCUUCGGGCGCGAGCGGCUGGGCGUGCGGCCCAUCAGGUCGUUGGCGGGGUAACGGCCCACCAAGCCUUUGACGGGUAGCUGGUCUGUGAGGAUGGUCAGCCAGACUGGGACUGCGACACGGCCCAGACACCUACGGGUGGCAGCAGCGAGGAAUCUUCCACAAUGGGCGCAAGCCCGAUGGAGCAACGCCGCGUGGAGGACGACGGCCUUCGGGUUGUAAACUCCUUUCGGAAGGGAUGAGACGGACAGUACCUUCAGAAGAAGCCCCGGCUAACUCUGUGCCAGCCGCCGCAGUAAAAC